rnacentral:lncRNA from 1 species
UACCGCCGGCUAGCCGUGUUCAUUCAACUUACAACUUGCAAAUUUGAGUUGAUUUUUCCGUCACUUUACAUAGUUUAAUGUAUCUGUCACAGCUUUUUUAAAUGCAAAUUCCACUGGAAACAAUGGGUCUUCUGGAGGAUACAAGCACUUGGGCUGGUCCCAACCACCUACACCCGGGAUGAGGAGAAGAGGUUUCAUACUCGACAAGCGAUGGCCUUUCCAUUUCUUUCACGAGCAGAAAUGAUACCGAGUUCCAAUGACUUGGGCAUCAGAGCAGCAGUCCCUUGAUCGAUGAGCUCUUUGAGACCACCUGAAUUGCAAGCUCUGUAUGGCCAGUUUUUGUGUGACAAAAUAAAAGAUAAGGGUUGAAAAUCCCUCCAGCUAAGUUAGGGAUCAUGUAAUUGCCAUGGAAACCAAAUAUAGUAAUGUAUAACAGGUUGUAUAUUCCUGAAAGUGCAAUUGUUGGAUAAAUGUUAAUUUAUAUUGGCACUAAUGUAAUUUUAAGAUUGUCCUUAUUUUUAGCUUUACAUAAACACCAAAAGCAGAGAAUAUUGUUCCCAGUUGGAAUUGUGUCAUAUUUAUUAUCAUAAUAGUAUUAUCAUAAUUGUGGUAAUGUAAUCCUAUUUGAAAUUUUGAACCAGUAUUUAUUUUGUGUGGGAUAUAAUAUGUUUUAUAUACACUGAAGUUCAAUAUGUGUUACUAUGUAAUUUUAGAUCUGAUCAAGUUUACCUUAAUGUUACUUAAUAAAACCCACUUAACUCCAAAGAAGUAUUUUGAAUAUUUGGUUCUUGCACUAUUUUGUAUCCCUUUUCUCGCUAAAUAUUUACCUUUUAUUGAGAGCUGUGUUGACGGGUUCCAUGACAUUUGCUCUGGCAAAUUCCACACCAUAAUCUUAUGAACAGCUUCAACCAGUAAGGUCUAAACCUAACUUAAAACCAUAUUGCAACCCUGAACCUCUAUCUUAAGGGGCUUUCACAAUUGCUCGUGCGAUUGUUUGCGAUCACUUGGUCACAAUAUAUGUUGCACAGAAUUGCAACGGUGAAGGGUCGUAAGUAGUCACGCAACCAAUUGUAAAAGGGGCUUUAGACAAAAUUAAGCCUGGGGCAAUUGUCGCAGGAGCAAAUGUUGUGUCACAUGGUAAUCAGAUGGAGAUGAUUGGAGAGAUGAAGAUGGGGGGGGGGGUGAAGAUGGUGAAAG